UACAGAGGGGGCAAGCGUUGUUCGGAAUUACUGGGCGUAAAGGGCGCGUAGGCGGCCGCCUAAGUCAGACGUGAAAUCCCUCGGCUUAACCGGGGAACUGCGUCUGAUACUGGAUGGCUAGAGGUUGGGAGAGGGAUGCGGAAUUCCAGGUGUAGCGGUGAAAUGCGUAGAUAUCUGGAGGAAUACCGGUGGCGAAGGCGGCAUCCUGGACCGACAUUGACGCUGAGGAGCGAAAGCUAGGGGAGCAAACGGG
rnacentral:rRNA from 1 species